rnacentral:misc_RNA from 1 species
GUGAGUCAUCGAAUCUUUGAACGCAACUUGCGCUCUCUGGUAUUCCGGAGAGCAUGCCUGUUUGAGUGUCAUGAAAUCUCAACCAUUAGGGUUUCUUAAUGGCUUGGAUUUGGAGGUUGCCAUUCUGAAUGGCUCCUCUCAAAAGAGUUAGUGAGUUUAACUAUUGCUAUCUGGCGUAAUAAGUUUCGCUGGAAUGGUAUUGUGAAGCGCGCUUCUAAUCGUCUUCGGACAAUUACUUUGACUCUGGCCUCAAAUCAGGUAGGACUACCCGCUGAACUUAAGCAUAUCAAUAAGCGGAGGA